rnacentral:lncRNA from 1 species
CUUUUCUCUCUCAAAAGGAUUUGUCUUUGCAGAUCAAAACUCUACUCUUCAACAAUACUUAAACACUUAAAAGUACAUAAAUGACUCUAUUCUUAUAUCUAGCUAUUUCAUUUCCCCUUUCAGACCAUAAUCCCAGGACACUUUAAUUUAAGGUAUAAUUUUAUAGAGACAGAGGCAAAUCUAUCAAAAAAACAUAUUUGUAUAUGUGUAUUUUUUUUUCUUUUUCUAACACAUUAGAUAAGGACCAAGUGAAAUAAUGUGCAUGAAAGGCUAGUCAAAGUGAUCAUGGCAUGAUCAAACAAUUAGAUCCACAGGCAUCAUUAUUGAUGAAGGGUUAUUUAUUAGAAUGGACAUGCUGUAGAGCUAGGUAGGAAUAGGGUCGUUAUUUUCAGCUCUUAUGUUAAACAGAACUUGCUUCCAGCCAAAUGUAUUAAAAAUAUUGCUCUCACCCCCAUAAAAAUCAAGAAGCAAGUUUUGGAAGUAAAAAUGCAACGAGCAGAUAGAAUUCCGUCAAUCACCAUGAUUCAGAAUGUUCCGGUUAGAGACAGGUUAAGAGAUACAGUUUCACCAUUAAAUAGUGACACGGGAAGCUAGAAUUUUAUAGAAUGUACCAGAGGGAAGCAAAGCCAUGUGUAGAAGACAACUGAUUAAAAUGUGGAGUUUUAAAGGCUGUGCCUUGAUCAGUGCAUAAACAAAAUCUAAGACCCCCCCCCCACCUCCCAGAGGGAGAUAGAUGCUGGUCCCCACAGCAAAUUACAAGAACCACACUGAAUCUUGGUGAAAGCACCUCAAAACCUUCAAACAGAAGCAUCAAAGCAAUUUGUAAAAAUAAAUUAUUCCAGACUACAAAGGAGGAACACUGAACAUAGAACCAAAACCCACUCACUACAUAGCUGUUUCAUUUUUAUAAAUAUGUUUAGAAAUGUGUGUCCUUUUCAUUUCAAACAGUGGAUACAGUCAUCUUCAGUACAUUCUUUAGCAGUUUUCAUAACAAUUUACAACUCUCAGCUAAUGUUAUGCAUAGAUAUUUGGGUGAAAGGACUCUGUCUCACUCUAAUUAAAGAUUCUUCUCACCCAACAUAGAGUAAAUCAGUUAAUUAGCAAUUGAUAUAAAAAGCAGAUAUUAGAUUAUGCAUUGUAUACCAAAACCAUAAAAUACUGAAUAAAAUAACAAAUUAAUAAUAUGCUAUAUAAACACAUAAUUACAUUAAAAAUUUUAACAGGACUCUUUUAAUGAAAUGUUACAAAUUUUACUUCAACCUCCCACGUCACAGAGUUCAGUUCAGUACUGUACAAACCUUGUUAGAGCAAAAUCCACAGAAAGUAUUUCGGCAGAGCUUUUCUUCUUCCUUCCAUCCAGAGCCCCUGCAUUUUCAUUAUCUUCCUUUGAUGAAGCUUUGAAUAGCCUGUACUUCUUCUUGAACCUUUGACCUCAUAUCCUGUAAGUGGAUAAAGUAUUAGUGCAUCAAUACUUUAUUGAAAUUCUAUAAUAAGCAACACAUGCAUUACAUUUCUUGGAUAAGAAGGAGACCAUUUGAGUAACAGGAAUUAGCACUCUAUUGAAUAUGAGAUGACAUUUGAU